ACAACCCUUCCAGCAUUCGGCGCGGCAAACAUGAUAGCCAAACAAAACAAAUACUGGAAUAAUCCCAGUCGACCUAUUCAAGCGAGUCAACAACGAUACGCGUUGUCAAUCAUUCAGUUCUUGGGUCUACUACUGACUGCAUCAUUCCAAUGUGUUACGUCGUUCAUUGUUUACAAUUCACGGGCCCAAUGUUUUUGUUCACACACGCGUACUACUCUAAUCGGUCAGUGCGUAGUCUACUUCAACAACCGUAUAAUAAGCAAGGCACAAAAACACGCGAUAAGAUAUCACACAAAUUGGAAUGGUCUGUGAACCGAAACUAGGUGAAAGAGAUAGAGAUGGGCAUUUAUGGAUAUUUUGCUAUCAAGACUAGAGUUUCCAAUGGUGUUACAUAACCUUACAGCAACAGGUUUUUAACUUUAACAGUUACAGAAGAAAUAACUAGGUAAACCCAAAAAUCGUUUAAUUCAAUACGAUUCAUUUUGUACAUACAUAUUAUCAAUAGGGUCGAACAAAAUUGUGAAGCGAUUGAGAAGUUGGCAAACAUUUCGGUUUUUUCUAUUGAAAUCGUUUUUCACUUCAAUUCUAUUGUGGGUUUAAAUGGCUGAUAAACCUCAGCCGUAGUCGUAAUGGAGGUUUUAAGUUCCGGA